GUGGGGAAUAUUGCACAAUGGGCGCAAGCCUGAUGCAGCCAUGCCGCGUGUGUGAAGAAGGCCUUCGGGUUGUAAAGCACUUUCAGCGGGGAGGAAGGCGGUGAGGUUAAUAACCUCAUCGAUUGACGUUACCCGCAGAAGAAGCACCGGCUAACUCCGUGCCAGCAGCCGCGGUAAUACGGAGGGUGCAAGCGUUAAUCGGAAUUACUGGGCGUAAAGCGCACGCAGGCGGUCUGUCAAGUCGGAUGUGAAAUCCCCGGGCUCAACCUGGGAACUGCAUUCGAAACUGGCAGGCUAGAGUCUUGUAGAGGGGGGUAGAAUUCCAGGUGUAGCGGUGAAAUGCGUAGAGAUCUGGAGGAAUACCGGUGGCGAAGGCGGCCCCCUGGACAAAGACUGACGCUCAGGUGCGAAAGCGUGGGGAGCAAACAGGAUUAGAAACCCGGGUAGUCC
rnacentral:rRNA from 1 species